rnacentral:lncRNA from 1 species
GAGGUGGUUUAUUACUGCAGCACCAGCUAGCCUACCCUUGUGAAAGAUAAAGAGGUAAAGAGCAGGAAGGAGAGAGAAGCAGCAAGAGAAAAAGAAAAAAAAGGGCACAGGAGGAGAGGGGGAGAAAAAGGGAACUCCACGCCAAUGUUCCACCUGGCAGAGAGACAAGAAUGAUCGCAAACUUCAGCCACCAGGCGGGGAUGAGUUUGAGGAAAGAGAUCCAGAGGCUGCGCUGGCUGGUUCUGCCAGGAACCCGCUGUGAUGGGACCACGAUUGUCCUUUGAAGACAGCGUUCUAGCGGGGUGGUAUUGCUGGUGAAGGGUAAAUACUAUAGUUAAAUGAUGACAUAACAACUAUUUUCACUUAAAGUUAUAUCAUGUCCUCCCAUUAUGUUUUACCUUUAAAUGUGCAGU